rnacentral:tRNA from 1 species
CACUGGAUAGCCAAUACGGCAAGGCAUCAGCCUUUUAAGCUGACUAAUGGUGAUUACCAACCACCUUCAGUGG